UUAACAGUAAAAAGGUUUGUUCCUGAGAAAAACGGUCUAAUACUGUAAAAAACAGCACAUGGGGGCGGAGCAUCUUCAACGAGCCUCAUUCAAACUCCUGCAGAAAGCGCUGCGGUCAACCGAAGGAAUCUCUUCGUCUGCGUGUGCUAAAGAAGGAAACUGUUCAAGGCUCUAAGGACCUUUGAGAUGACUGAAAUCGUUUGGCGAAGUGAUAUGGAACUGUAAUGCGGUCAAAUAAAUCCUCAAGAUGCCUGGAACUACUGCCUUGAACAGCUGUAGUAUAAACAGACCUGGGCGUGUUGACCAGUUUCAUCAGACCUCUUUCCAGAUCUAUCCAAAGUUGGUGUAAUGUAAUCUUUUCUAAAGGUUAAAGGAUUAGUUCACUUUCAAAAAAAUUUUUCCUAAUAAUUUACUCACCCCC